AUUAAAAUGGUUGUAGUUCAAUAUUAUUACUCACUGAGCUAGCGUCUCACUCCUCGCUAAUUCUUUUUUACAAUGAAUUCAAGUGGUAUUGAGGAUGAUAUCAUUAGCUAAAUAGUGAGAUUUGAUUGCAUAUGGUGAGACCCACAUUUCUCGUGUAGCAAGUGAACAUUUUAUCUGCUAUGUUUAUUUAGUUUCUUUAAACUCUUAGAGUCGCUCCAUUUGUCCAUUCUUAUUUAUAGUCAAGAUAUUAUUUCAAAUUGCAGUCAAGUGACUCAUUUUAACCUUUUUUUUCAUAUUUCGAGAUGAAUUGAUUUAUUUAUGUGACAAUUAGAUCAAUGAUGGAUAUUAUGUUGUAAUUUAUAGUUGUUAUUAGUUUUGUUAUGGAUGUCUGAGACAGGGAAAAUUUUUGAUAGACAUAAAAACAAAGGAAACUUUGCCCGAUUUUCUGCAGAAUACGAUAAGGAUUGCUUUGGGAUUUUCCCCCUUAGCGCCGGUCAUGAUCCUUAAUUAAAUCGUGAAAGUAGUUUUAUUUAAUGAUGUUUUCUCCUUCUUUUAUUUUUUUAACUUUUAAUGCUUUUUUUUACGUUAUUAACAUGAAAAGAAUCACCUACUACAAUUUAACAUCAUUUCAAUUUAUUAAACUUUAAUUAUACCUAUAAUCAUCAAAGAAUAUGACAAUAAGAAUAGAUUUGGACAAUAGUGCUAAUAGGAAAUAAACUAAGUUUUUUUUAUAACAAUUUCGCUCUUAGUCUAAUGAUAUAAAAACUCUAAACAUAAAGUUGAUAUGUACAUCUUUUAUAUCCCUUCAUGGAUUGCUUUGAAACCCGAUUUAUUUUCAUUUCAAGAUUUUCUUUUCUUUUUCUUUUUCUUUUUAUUUUUCUUUUAUUUUCUCUUUUUUUUAUUUGUAUGGAGGACUUCCAUUUAUCUUAAAACCCAUGGGUUUGCGAUACUUUUCUUGCAUUUCUUGACUUUUCCUUUUCCUUCUUAUCACACCCCCAACUUAGGCUUUUGGCCUAUGUUGUCUAUUCACUUAUAUAACAUCUCAAAAAUAUUAUAGGUGAUAGAUCACGUAAGAUCUAGGUUUCAUAAAGUUUUAUUUACAAUGAAGAGGUAAGGCUCAAAGGUUGUGAAAAAGAGUUUCACACACUCACGGGUAGGCCACAAAAGAGGUAUAUGUCAAACUUUUCUCACACUCUUAAGAAUAUCCUUAGAUCAUAUCAUGAGGAUACCUUUCUAAAUCAAUCAGACUAACCAGGGAAAUUCAAGGUUUAUUCAUGCAAGAUUCAAAGUAAGCUCAUCACACAAGGCAGUGACACUUAAGUCAAAAAGACAAAACACUUCUUCUAUUGUGCAAUGGUCAUUGCAAAAUAAUCAAUUCAAUAAUUGGAUAAUCACAACGAGAUGCAACGAGUUCACAUAUUGCCUAUGUAACUUCAUUUGUUCUAAUUGUAGCCGCACAUUCAUGUUUGUUCUAUUGAUAUUAGUGGUUAAGUCAUCAGUAUUAAUCAAAAUCGAGACAUAAACUUUUACAUGAACAACCACUUUCAAAACAAGAAGUUGCAAAAUUUCAAAAAUGAAAUGUUUCAGAAGGGUUAAAAUUAUUAUGAAAGUAGGACCCAAAAGAUAGUCAUAAGAUCAAACAUUUGAGAAAGCAAUUUAAAUAGACACUCCACCUAUGUACUAAAAGACACAAACAUUUAACAAAACUAACAAUAAAUAAAGGUGGACUUCACCCUACCACAAAUAAAUGCAUUUGUCCUGAAGUACAGUUCAUAUGAUACACGAAAGUUGAUGCAAAGUGAUACUGAUAAGAGAGUAAGGACAGAAAUCAUGUUCAAGUUGUUGUUUUAUUUGUUGGUGCAUUUCUCCCAUUGGAGACAUUAGGGGGUUUACUCAUUAUAGAAACUAGUAUUGCUUCCCAUAUAAAUGUUUGUUCCGUCUCCGCUAGUUCUUCUUAGCAACAUUAGAUGUGUCCUCGAAGAUGUCCUUUUUUAUCGAAGUCUUUGGUUCAAGCUUAGUCACUUCUCCAGAAAUAAAGAUGGAAUUACCUUGUUGUACCUCACUUUGCAUUAUCUUGAUCACAUCCUUGAAUGUUGCAAUCUUAGCGGUGCUUCUUUUGUUGCAUUCGCACACUGCUAUUCUUGUAUGAAGUUCAUGAACAGUUGUUUUUAGCGCUGUAACAACAUUAGUCAAAGUAGUCUGGAUCAUUCAUGCAAUAGAGGUUUAUAGGUCAUCAAUCAGAAGAUCUACACACUGAGGGACUUUGCAAUUUUUUUCCAUAUUUUCUUGCAACAAGUUUCUUCAUGUUGACUUUUCUAAGUGUAUUUGUUCACUUGCGUACCUCCAGUUGCUUUCCAUUGAGGCGACAUUAACUUUCUUGCAACUUCAGAUCUUGUCAUACCUACAACCACAAGUAUACUCAAAUGUUGUUAAUAAUGUUGAACUGGGUUUUGGUUGAUAUUUCAGCUCACUCAAACUGGAGAACAGCAGAUAUGAUUAGGUAGACAAAAUUCAAGAUGUCAAAUAUUGCAAUUUAAUAUGCAUUUAUGAGUUAAUCGGUUGAUCGCUCAAUAAUUGGUA